rnacentral:lncRNA from 1 species
CCUUAGGCAAAAUUGUGAAAUAUUGAGAAUUAUUCUUGUGGAUGUUGUAUUAGUGCAUCUCUUAACUUUCACAUUGCCAAUCCACUGUAUCCAAAGGUCCAACUUUUUAGCUCCUCAUUUUUAUCUUCCUGGCCAGUGUGCCAUACUUUGCAACUUUCUCUUCGUUCUCCCUCCUUCCCUCAUCAACGGCUCUGUUUAAUCUGAUUACCAAACUCAAACUAGUUAGGAAGCGCUAAUUGGUUGAUGUAUUGCCCUUUCAGGAAAUGUAUUUCUCUUUAAACCAGGGGCUAUCUCUUCACUCAAGAAUAUGACUUUAAUGAUCUUCCUGUUUAAGGCUUUACAGGUUAUUUUUUGUAAUCAAGGAAGAACAAAGCAUUUCAGUUUGAAAUAACAAAGACAUCUUAGGAAUGAUAAAUUCAAAAUCACUCAGUCUUGUGGAAAAGAAGACUAUGAUUUGGCAAAUGUAUUAAAUCCAGCCUCUAACAAAAGACGUGACACAUAUCCUGAUGACACAUAAUCAAGUUUGUCACUUCAGACACGUCAUGAGUAAUCAAAGACAUGGUGGCAAGGUGGUAAGGAAAAUAAAAUCCAAGUCCUUUUUUGGAAUAUCAGUGAGCCCAAAAGAAAACAAACAUGGCCAGUACCCGUUGCAGGAUGCCGUCAUCAAGGCCAGUUGUGAACAUUUCUCCUGGGUGGCAGUCAGAGCACAGUUCAUGUUCCACAAUCGGGUGCUUUUCCGGAACCAAAAUCCACAAUGUGCUUAUUCUAAUGUGGUAGGAUCUGGUGGUUUGGAAAAGGAGGCCGCUUUGGAGAAUCUAGUCCACCAAAGGGUAGAAGGAGAAGUCCCUUGCUUAAAACUCCAGAUCCAAGAUUCCUUAAUGAGAGUUAAAUGUUCUUUAUUCCCUGCCCCUUCUCUCUAAUUUUCUCCUACAACUUAAGCAUAAGUAGGCAUGAAACAGUUACAUAGCAAAAUCUCCGGGAGUCAAUAACCAGCCUGGAUAAAUUGAGCGAGAUUAUCCUUGUUCAGUGUGGAACAUUCGGCUUGUCAAUAGUAAGUGCUUUAUAAAUAGCAGCUGUUAUCUAAGCAUAGUAUUAUUAUUAACAAUAAUAUCUUCUGCAGCUGUGGGUUGGGCAGUGAGGUACUGUUUUGGUUUUUAGAGACAGUCAGCAACCGUAUUUUUGUUAAAUAAAGAAUGGUCUUCCAGUCAACUCACAGUCUAGAAGAUACUGUUUUCACCUAAAGCUGUGGAACUCAGUAAGACAGGGACUUCUAGCAGAUAAUAACAGAACCACUUUGCACUGGAGGAGAGCAUGAAGGGUAGAGGUUGACAUUAAAUGACCAAAAAAACACAUAAUGGCAAGUUGAGAGAGAGACAGCAGAAGAAAGGAAGUUUAUGAUUAUGAACGGAGCUGCUAUAACGAUCCUUGCAAGUCUUCUUACUGACCACUCUGGGAAGCCAGCUGCCAUGAACUGAUGCAUCUAUGUGGAAAGCACUGCAUACGUGAGUUUGGAAGUAGAUGUUCUAAGACUUGCCACUAAGCUAUAUGAGUGAGCUUGGAAAUGGCUCUUCCCCAGUUGAGCCGAGAGGUGACAGAUACCUUGAUCAUGGAUUUGUAAGAGACCUGGAACCAGAACAAUCAGCUGAGCCAAUACCAGAUUCCUGACCCAGAGAAAUAGUGACUUCUAUUGACCUAUCUUCCACUUCGCUGACUCUUUCCUUGACUGUGUUAAGUGUACUGAUGAGGCCAUUUAAAGAUAUCUCUGGAAUUUCUAUUUGACUGUUUCUUAUAGUUUCCAUCUUUUUGCUGAAAUUCUCCAUUUCUUCAGGAAGAUUGGCCCUGAGCUAACAUCCAUGCCCAUCUUCCUCUACUUUACGUGUGGGAUGCCUGCCACAGCAUGGCUUGAUAAGCUGUGCGUAGAUCUGCACCCAGGAUCCGAACCAGCAAACCCCAGGCAGCUGAAGCAGAGUGUGUGAACUUAACUGCUUUGUCACCUGGCCGGCCCCUCAAUGGGUCUCUUCAAACUUGAGCAGAAUAAAGAAAUGUCACCUAUCAUCUGGGUCAAGGUGAAGGACAUUCGCUUAGAGGCUGCAGCUCUGCUGGGUUUGCGAGCCCUUUUUAAACAACUCUCUGCACAAAAAUUUCUCCCUAUUGUUGAAAAAACAAAGAAACAAAAAAAAACUAACCUCUCAUCUUAAUGUUUUCCUUUUUUUCUGUGUAACGAGAAUUUUAGGUUUCUAAAGGCAGUUUCAUCUAAACACUCCUAGCUGCCCUUGCCUUUUGUUAAAGGUAUGCUUCGUGAGUCAGCAGUGGAGAGAAAGGGCCUAGAUUUUGUCAGGUUGUUGACCGUUUAGCUGCACAGAGAGAUGCAUGCGGAAAGCUUGAAAGUACUUUCUCAGCAGGAAAGUUGUUUGCGUUUUAAUGCACGCACGACUAAAGGCUCGUCAUGUGUUUUUUACGGAACGUCUAACCCCUCAUUGCUAAGGACACACCUUCACGUCUACUUCCUCCACGUUUUUAUCUUUUUUCUCACACAAAGUUUUUGGACGUGAGUCCACAUUAUUACAAUUAUUCCUUCCGGGAGUCAAAAUAAUUGUAAACCAUUAGGCAAAUCACAAGUUAGGGAAAAUUGUGUCCAUUUUUCCAAUGAAAU